rnacentral:rRNA from 1 species
UACGUAGGGGCCUAGCGUUGUCCGGAGUUAUUGGGCGUAAAGAGCGUGUAGGCGGCCAGGUAGGUCUGCUGUGAAAACUCGAGGCUCAACCUCGAGACGUCGGCGGAAACCAUCUGGCUAGAGUCCGGAAGAGGAGAGUGGAAUUCCUGGUGUAGCGGUGAAAUGCGCAGAGAUCAGGAAGAACACCCGUGGCGAAGGCGGCUCGCUGGGACGGUACUGACGCUGAGACGCGAAAGCGUGGGGAGCGAACAGG